AGAACGAACGCUGGCGGCAGGCCUAACACAUGCAAGUCGAACGCCCCGCAAGGGGAGUGGCAGACGGGUGAGUAACGCGUGGGAACAUACCUUUCGGUUCGGAAUAGCUCAGGGAAACUUGAAUUAAAACCGGAUACGUCCGCAAGGAGAAAGAUUUAUCGCCGAAAGAUUGGCCCGCGUCCGAUUAGCUAGUUGGUGGGGUAAAAGCUUACCAAGGCGACGAUCGGUAGCUGGUCUGAGAGGAUGAUCAGCCACACUGGGACUGAGACACGGCCCAGACUCCUACGGGAGGCAGCAGUGGGGGAUAUUGGACAAUGGGCGCAAGCCUGAUCCAGCCAUGCCGCGUGAGUGAUGAAGGCCCUAGGGUUGUAAAGCUCUUUCGUCAGGGACGAUAAUGACGGUACCUGAAGAAGAAGCCCCGGCUAACUUCGCGCCAGCAGCCGC
rnacentral:rRNA from 1 species